rnacentral:ribozyme from 1 species
UGCCCAGAAACUACUCACCCUACCUCCUCACGGUACUGGCCGGGUAACGAGUAGAUCGGGUAACCAACCCCGGUGGGAACUUUGGUCGUAUGCUGACAGGUGAAG